CAACUCUCCUGGAGUUGAGGACUUCUGACAGGUGCUGGCCAGAUGGCAGCAUGGCCAGAGGGCAGCUCUGUCCACUGGGAGAACAUGUGGUGGCCCUGACUCAAAGCAGACCCGGGCUGGAGGUCACUGGCACUGAGGCAGAGGCACGUGGGCCCACUUGGGUCUGGAGCACUGCUUGAUUUGGCCAGGGCCAGGCUGGGACAUCCCUCUACAGUAACUCCAGGGAUGUCAAGUAGGACUUUACUAGCCCUUGCCGAGCCAAUGGGGUCCCUUCACUGGAAUGAGAUUCUUCCCUACAGUGAGAUGCAGAAAUUCCAAUGGCCACCUGAAGGAACUGGAGGAAGGGUGCAGCAGGCAACGGUGUCCAGAACACUUCCAACUAAGGCACAGGACAUGCUUUCCCCAAUUCCAGUUGGAGGAAGAACAGAAGCUCUGGGCAAGGAGGGUGGUUCACCUCCUUCACCCAGGGAAGCCAUAUCCCCACCUCUCACUGGAGGGGGAUCCAGUCCUCAAGCCACCAGCCAGACUGAGACAGUCCUUGUCCAUGGGACAACCUCCAGCUCAUGUCUGUCCUGCCUCAGUGGCCCAUGAACCAAUGUUUGCCUGAAUCAGGUGCACAUCAGAAGCACUGCUUUAUUAGAAGUAUGAGGCCUUUAUCAAGACAUAUGCAUUGAAGUCAUUUCUCUCGUGUGUCUUUUGAUUCACAGGUAUUUCUAAUUUUCAUGUAGACCAACGUGUCACCUAUUUUACUGCUGGUGCUUCCCCUGUCCUGUUGAAGAAAAUGAAUUAUUAUCUCCUCUAUAUCUUCUAGCAGCUUUGCUGUUUCCCCUUUCACAUUUUUUUUAAAGUUUUCAAACAAUUUAAGGUCAUUUUGUAUUUAUAUCUGUAUCCACACAUGUACACACAAUGUAUAUAUCAAAUCCUUAUACAGUCAUAAAAAUAAAUUACAAGCAACAAAAUAAAAAGUUAAACUUAAUUUAGUGUAUUGUUUGCUUUUUAAAAAUAACUAAAAUAGAGUCACACUUUAUCUAACAUCAAUCAUUCUUUUUUUUGUUUUGGUUUUGUUUUUUUGGUCCCAGGGAUUGAACUCAGGACCUUGCACUUGCAAGGCAGGCACUGGAACCACUGAGCUAAAUCCCUGGCCCUUAACAUCAGUCAUUCUUAACAUAAAUGAUCCUGACUGGGGCAUACUUUUCUUUAUGCCACUUCAAUAGACCCUAAGU
rnacentral:lncRNA from 1 species